rnacentral:lncRNA from 1 species
CCCUCUGCCAUCAUCACCCUGAGGAUGGAGCAGUGACAUCCCAGGGCCACCACGGCUCUCUGUCCUCCUGCACGAAGCCAUAGAGGGAAGAGAACUGGCUCCUGGAAGCCUGCCUUCUAGCAGGAAAUGGCCUGGGUUGUAGCAGCCUAAAUAGAGCCUUGCUUGCUGACUCUCCCAAUGGCUUUGCUGAGGUUUCGAUGCCCAACUCUUGUGAGUGUGGUGAGCCUUGGGGACUGUUCACAUUCAAGCAAUCCUAUGGGACAGCUGUGAUGGCGUUAGCUGGCUUCCAAAUAUCCCAACUGUGCUGGAGAAAGUUGGUCACCAAUUCUGGACUCAAGGAAAGUCAACAGCUUUGAAGCGGUUGAUGUGGCAUUUCUACUUCUGGACUUUUAGGAACUCUUCCUUGAUUUUGCAGAGAAUCUGUUCAAAUGUACUCAGUGGUUGUUGAGAUCCGAGGUUGCCUGUCACACCAAUAAAAUCUUUCUGUUUCCUUCUCCAUGGUUUUGGAAUGAGAAACACCUCAUGGCUCACUGCAGCAGGAGAGAAAGCUUCAGUGACACAGCUGCUGAGUGCAGGAAUAUGUAAAUUGAGAGUGACAGGGAUUUACUUCAACCUACUGAGAGCUCCAUCAGGAAAACAUCUGGAUGUUGGUAUGGCUGAGAUGGACCUCUAUAAUGGGAACCCCAAAAAUAAGCCUCAUCAAAUGUGA